UAGUGUUGUUGGGUAGGGGAGCGUUCUGUAAGCCGUUGAAGGUGUCCUGUGAGGGGUGCUGGAGGUAUCAGAAGUGCGAAUGCUGACAUAAGUAACGAUAAAGCGGGUGAAAAGCCCGCUCGCCGGAAGACCAAGGGUUCCUGUCCAACGUUAAUCGGGGCAGGGUGAGUCGACCCCUAAGGCGAGGCCGAAAGGCGUAGUCGAUGGGAAACGGGUUAAUAUUCCCGUACUUGGUGUUACUGCGAAGGGGGGACGGAGAAGGCUAUGUUGGCCGGGCGACGGUAGUCCCGGUUUAAGCGUGUAGGUGUGUGUUCCAGGCAAAUCCGGUUCACUUUAACACUGAGGCGUGAUGACGAGGCACCACGGUGCUGAAGCAACAAAUGCCCUGCUUCCAGGAAAAGCCUCUAAGCAUCAGGUAACAUCAAAUCGUACCCCAAACCGACACAGGUGGUCAGGUAGAGAAUACCAAGGCGCUUGAGAGAACUCGGGUGAAGGAACUAGGCAAAAUGGUGCCGUAACUUCGGGAGAAGGCACGCUGACAC
rnacentral:rRNA from 1 species